UGGGACAGCUAAAAACAUUGAGGAUGCUGAAAAUAACCCUAUGGAUGUAAUUGACCCUCUUGUCCUAGAGGAACAUUAUCAACAGGUUGAUCAAUUAAGGUCAUUCCAAGUUAAUACAGAACAUGGAGCAUAUCAGCAACCUGAAGCAGAUAUUCCAUCACAGGUGCUUAAUGUAUCUCAUGAAGGUUUGUCUAGCACAUCUCAGCAAGGUGUACAUA